GACGAACGCUGGCGGCGUGCUUAACACAUGCAAGUCGAACGGAAAGGCCUCUUUCGGGGGGUACUCGAGUGGCGAACGGGUGAGUAACACGUGAGUAACCUGCCCUUGACUUUGGGAUAACUUCAGUAAACUGGGGCUAACACCGGAUAGGAGCUCCUGCUGCAUGGAGGGGGUUGGAAAGUUUCGGCGGUUGGGGAUGGACUCGCGGCUUAUCCGCUUGUUGGUGGGGUAGUGGCUUACCAAGGCCUUGGCGGGUAGCCGGCCUGCGAGGGUGACCGGCCGCACUGGCACUGAGAUACGGCCCAGACUCCUACGGGUGGCAGCAGGGGGGAAUAUUGCACUAUGGGUGGAAGCCUGGUGCAGCAGCGCCGUGGGCGGGAUGACGGCCUUCGGGUUGUAAACCGCAUUCGCUCAUGACGAAGCUUUGUGUGACGGUAGUGGGUAAAGAAGCACCGGCUAACUACGUG
rnacentral:rRNA from 1 species